AAUUGGCAAUUGAGAUUGGUGUUUUAUUUUGUUGAUAAAAAUAACACAUCAGAUUGAAGGGCGAGAGACAGUUAUUACAAGCUCUUUUUCACUUAACAAGAUGACCUCCAAAGAACUAUGACGCGUGAAUCAGAGGCCAGCUUAGAGCAUUUUCAUGGUGUCAGUUUGGUUACGGACGUAGGAAAGCAAAAUUGACGUUUGUAAUAUCGAGUUGGUUAUUGUGAAAGAUGUUGCAGUGAUUUAGAGUCUGGAUAAGUGAAGGCAUAGUUUUAGGGAGGCACAUAUGUUUGUCAUUAGGCCUUUGCCAUGACGGGUGCGCUUGCAUGGAAGGUCAUCUCUUAAUAAAAGCAUACUUCUUUGUGUUUGAGGGGAGAUCACACGGGAUGUAUUUUUUGCCCUAGGUUCUCCCCUCUAGAGUGUAUUCUUCUUGUUUUGUCUUUUCUUUUCAUGCUUUCCUUUCUCUUGAACAAUGGAAUAUUGCAUCCUCGAAAGCAGCCUCGACAUUCUCGAUUUUGGCAUGCCAUGAACCAGCGUUGCUUCCUAGUUGUUCUCGGAUGAUGUAGAUACAAAUUACACAUCAGAUUGAAGGGCGAGAAACGGUUAUUAGAAGCUCUUUUUCACUUAACAAUAUGACCUCCAAAGAACUAUGACGCGUGAAUCAGAGGCCAGCUUAGAGCAUUUUCAUGGUGUCAGUUUGGUUAUGGACAUAGGAAAGCAAAAUUGACGUUUGUAAUAUGGAGUUGGUUAUUGUGAAAGAUGUUGCAGUAAUUUAGAGUCUAGACAAGUGAAGGCAUAGUUUUAGGGAGGCACAUAUGUUUGUCAUUAGGCCUUUGCCAUGACGGUUGCACUUGCAUGGCAGGUCAUCUCUUAAUAAAAGCAUACUUCUUUGUGUUUGAGGGGAGAUCACACGGGGUGUAUUUUUUGCCCUAGGUUCUCCCCUCUAGAGUGUAUUCUUCUUGUUUUGUCUUUUCUUUUCAUGCUUUCCUUUCUCUUGAACAAUGGAAUAUUGCAUCCUCGAAAGCAGCCUCGACAUUCUUGAUUUUGGCAUGCCAUGAACCAGCGUUGCUUCCUAGUUGUUCUCGGAUGAUGUAGAUACAAAUUACACAUCAGAUUGAAGGGCGAGAAACGGUUAUUAGAAGCUCCUUUUCACUUAACAAGAUGACCUCCAAAGAACUAUGACGCGUGAAUCAGAGGCCAGCUUAGAGCAUUUUCAUGGUGUCAAUUUGGUUAUGGACAUAGGAAAGCAAAAUUGACGUUUGUAAUAUGGAGUUGGUUAUUGUGAAAGAUGUUGCAGUAAUUUAGAGUCUAGACAAGUGAAGGCAUAAUUUUAGGGAGGCACAUAUGUUUGUCAUUAGGCCUUUGCCAUGACGGGUGCGCUUGCAUGGCAGCCUCGACAUUCUUGAUUUUGGCAUGCCAUGAACCAGCGUUGCUUCCUAGUUGUUCUCGGAUGAUGUAGAUACAAAUUACACAUCAGAUUGAAGGGCGAGAAACGGUUAUUAGAAGCUAUUUUUCACUUAACAAGAUGACCUCCAAAGAACUAUGACGCGUGAAUCAGAGGCCAGCUUAGAGCAUUUUCAUGGUGUCAGUUUGGUUAUGGACAUAGGAAAGCAAAAUUGACGUUUGUAAUAUGGAGUUGGUUAUUGUGAAAGAUGUUGCAGUAAUUUAGAGUCUAGACAAGUGAAGGCAUAGUUUUAGGGAGGCACAUAUGUUUGUAAUUAGGCCUUUGCCAUGACGGGUGCGCUUGCAUGGCAGGUCAUCUCUUAAUAAAAGUAUACUUUUUCGUGUUUGAGGGGAGAUCGCACGGGGUGUUUUUUUGGCCCUAGGUUCUCCCCUCUAGAGUGUGUUCUUGUUGUUUUGUUUUUUUUCUUUUCAUGCUUUCCUUUCUCUUGAACAAUGGAAUAUUGCAUCCUCAAAAGCAACCUCGACAUUCUCGGUUGUACUCUCUAACCCAGCUUAUUUUGGCAUGCCAUGAACCAGCGUUGUUGCUUUCUAGUUGUUCUCGGAGGAUGGAGACCAAAUGUGGUACUUGGGAAGAUAUUUGUUUGUAGAUGAAUUAAAGAGGCUGGUGAGUAGUUGAAUUAGUGUAUUGAGCUCUUUACAGAGUUAAAUUCUUCAUUUCUAAUCAUUUAGAUAUUUGAAUAAAAUAUAUCCUUUAUUCUUUGCUUUCUUUAUAUAAAA